rnacentral:rRNA from 1 species
UACGGAGGGUGCAAGCGUUAUCCGGAUUUACUGGGUUUAAAGGGUGCGUAGGUGGGUCUGUAAGUCAGUGGUGAAAUCUUCCGAGCUUAACUCGGAAACUGCCAUUGAUACUAUAGGUCUUGAAUUAUCUGGAGGUAAGCGGAAUAUGUCAUGUAGCGGUGAAAUGCUUAGAUAUGACAUAGAACACCAAUUGCGAAGGCAGCUUACUACGGAUCGAUUGACACUGAGGCACGAAAGCGUGGGGAUCAAACAGG